GAGCCAGUUUUAAAGGUCUAAAAUGCCUAAAUAUCAGGAGCUUCAGCUAGUUUUCAGUGUUUUUCUCAAAACUUCAUUCUCAUCCCUGCUGGAGUCAUCACCUAGGUUUAGCUGAAACAGUAUUGUGUUGUAGCUUCUUACUCUGGAGUCAUCACCUAGGUUUAGCUGAAACAGGGUUGUGUUGUAGCUUCUUACUCUGGAGUCAUCACCUAGGUUUAGCUGAAACAGGGUUGUGUUGUAGCUUCUUACUCUGGAGUCAUCACCUAGGUUUAGCUGAAACAGGGUUGUGUUGUAGCUUCUUACUCUGGAGUCAUCACCUAGGUUUAGCUGAAACAGGGUUGUGUUGUAGCUUCUUACUCUGGAGUCAUCACCUAGGUUUAGCUGAAACAGGGUUGUGUUGUAGCUUCUUACUCUGGAGUCAUCACCUAGGUUUAGCUGAAACAGGGUUGUGUUGUAGCUUCUUACUCUGAAGCCUGACAUUUUCAAAAUUUUCUUUUAGUAUAUUAUGAACAAAUUUGUAUGUUUUCAAUCUGGAUCUGUGUUACCUGCAGAUGUAACUGUGCUUAUACUGAAUUUUAUACUGUACAUGUAUCAUGGAGUCAAAGAAAACAGCUAAAUUUUAACCUUUUUUUGCUGCUGAGACUUAAAUUCUAGUUCCAAAUUUGUUUCUGUUGUUUAUUUUGCCCCAAAUGUAGUGCUAUACAUAUACAUGUACUUUGAAACUGUUUUAUCUUCUUAUUGCAAAUACACUCAUAAAAAGAUAACAUUUCUCUCAAUAUUGGCUUCUCUGAUGAUGCAGUCAUACAUCAGAGGUGGUGAUGGUGAUUUUCUACCUCGCUUAUUGACCAGUAAGAAUCAAGUUAUUUCCACAUUCAUGGUAGAAGUGCCAUUUUCAGCAAGUAGUAAUUAUUUGAGGCAUUAUCCUGUCUUUUGACUGUGGAUAAAGACAAUGUUUCACAGCAGUCAAGUCUAACCAGAAAUUGUUUCAAGACUGGAAAUCCUGACCACAUGCUGCUAGAGCAGCAGGGUAAAUAAUUUGCUUUUCAUAUUAUCAUAUUACCCCGGUAUGUAACCAUAACAUUUUGCUAGGUAUCUUUUAUAUACUAUGCAAAUCCAUUCAUGUAACAGUGAUAUGUCCAUGUGAUGUUGCACAGGUAUAUUUAUGUGCAAUAAUGGAACAAGGUGAAAUAGUCUGACAUAUCCUGACGAGGAGUCUUCAAGAAUACACUGAGGUCACAAUAUGAUUUAUUGUUUAUCUACUACAUUGAUAUGUCAUGAUGCAGUUCACAAUACAUACCUUUUGUGUGGAUAUUUUUGUAAUCUUCAAUAUCACAAUUUAUCUCUGAUCUUCAUGAAUUUCAAAUGACAUUACCAAGACAAUGAGAUUUUAUCAAAAGUGCCAAAGUAUCAAAAGAUGAGAUUUUAGACUGUUUUAUGUAAGGGUAAUAGACAUCAAUUGUUGAUUAUACAUGUCUAUUGAAAAUGAAGUGUGUACCUUUUACUGUGUGUGCUGGUGCAAA